UGCGAUAAGCGCCGGUAAGGUGAUAUGAACCGUUAUAACCGGCGAUACCCGAAUGGGGAAACCCAGUGUGAUUCGUCACACUAUCAUUAACUGAAUCCAUAGGUUAAUGAGGCGAACCGGGGGAACUGAAACAUCUAAGUACCCCGAGGAAAAGAAAUCAACCGAGAUUCCCCCAGUAGCGGCGAGCGAACGGGGAGGAGCCCAGAGCCUGAAUCAGCAUGUGUGUUAGUGGAAGCGUCUGGAAAGGCGCGCGAUACAGGGUGACAGCCCCGUACACAAAAGCGCAUGUGCUGUGAGCUCGAUGAGUAGGGCGGGACACGUGGUAUCCUGUCUGAAUAUGGGGGGACCAUCCUCCAAGGCUAAAUACUCCUGACUGACCGAUAGUGAACCAGUACCGUGAGGGAAAGGCGAAAAGAACCCCGGCGAGGGGAGUGAAAAAGAACCUGAAACCGUGUACGUAC
rnacentral:rRNA from 1 species